rnacentral:rRNA from 1 species
GUGAGGAAUUUUCCGCAAUGGGCGAAAGCCUGACGGAGCAAUGCCGCGUGAAGGAUGAAGGCCCUAGGGUUGUAAAGCUCUUUCACCGGUGAAGAUAAUGACGGUAACCGGAGAAGAAGCCCCGGCUAACUUCGUGCCAGCAGCCGCGGUAAUACGAAGGGGGCUAGCGUUGUUCGGAAUUACUGGGCGUAAAGCGCACGUAGGCGGACAUUUAGGUCAGGGGUGAAAUCCCGGGGCUCAACCCCGGAACUGCCUUUGAUACUGGGUGUCUGGAGUAUGGAAGAGGUAAGUGGAAUUCCGAGUGUAGAGGUGAAAUUCGUAGAUAUUCGGAGGAACACCAGUGGCGAAGGCGGCUUACUGGUCCAUUACUGACGCUGAGGUGCGAAAGCGUGGGGAGCAAACAGGAUUAGAUACCCCGGUAGUCC